GACGAACGCUGGCGGCGUGCUUAACACAUGCAAGUCGAGCGGUAAGGCCCUUUCGGGGGUACACGAGCGGCGAACGGGUGAGUAACACGUGGGUGACCUGCCUUUAGCUCUGGGAUAAGCCUGGGAAACUGGGUCUAAUACCGGAUAUGACUCCGCGGUGCAUGCUGUGGGGUGGAAAGCCUUGUGCGGCUGGAGAUGGGCCCGCGGCCUAUCAGCUUGUUGGUGGGGUGAUGGCCUACCAAGGCGACGACGGGUAGCCGGCCUGAGAGGGCGACCGGCCACACUGGGACUGAGACACGGCCCAGACUCCUACGGGAGGCAGCAGUGGGGAAUCUUGCGCAAUGGGCGAAAGCCUGACGCAGCGACGCCGCGUGAGGGAUGACGGCCU
rnacentral:rRNA from 1 species